GCAAUAAUAACGGCAAAAAUAAUAGUAGUACAGUCAUUAACAACUAUAACAAAAACGAUAAUAACAACAAAAACGAUAAUAACAACAAAAACGAUAACAACAAAAACGAAAAUAACAACAACAUUCAUUUAAAAAAGCUACACAAUAGUCACUAUGCGAAACUAAAAGAAAAUGAUCGACUUCACAAAGAAGGUACAAGUAAUUUAAAUAAUUGUGUACAUAAAAGAAUGAACAUUUUAGAUGAUAAAAAAAAAAGAAAAGUAGAAAGUUUUGAAAAUGUGAAUGAUGUAAAAAAUGAACAUACAAGUAAAUUAAAUAGAUUGUUACAAUGGAGAUUAGGUGAUAAUAGUAGAAGUGAUGGCGAAAGGAAACAGAAAGACAUGGGAAACACGAAGAAAGCUUUCAUUAAUCAAAGAAAAUGGAAAGAUAUUAAGGAAAUAAAAAAUAAAAAUAAAACAUCACUUGAUUCUUCAACAUUUUUAAAUAACAACAAUAUUAUUAAAAAAAACAGUUCAGAAAAAAUAACAGAUGGUAAUGAAGUAAAAAUGAACAAAGAUAUUAUGAACGAAAUAAAAAAAAAAUAUGAAAAUGUUAUUAAAAGAGUCCAAAAAAAUGUUAAUUAUACAGUAGGCAAUACUACUGCUUCAGCUGAUAUUGCUACUGCUUCUAACACUAACACUAACAAAAGCAACAAUAAUAUUACUAACAGUUCCUUAUUAUUUAAUAGACAAUCAGAAGAUAUGAACGAUAGAAUAAAAAAAAGGUUGGACAUGAUAGAACAAUGUUUAAAAGAAGAUAGAAUGAAAAUAGACGAAGAAAAUAAAAUAAGAAAAGAAAUAGAUUUAAAAAGAAAAGCGUAUGAAUUGAAAAUACGAAAAGAGUUUGAAAAAAAAAUAAAAAUGAGAAUUGAAUUAAAUGAAAAAAAAGUGAUGGAAGAAAAACAAAAUAAAUUAGCUGACGUAAAAGUGAUUAGACAAAAUGAUGCUCCUGCGAAUGUAAUAAAUGAGCCGCAGCAAGAUGAUGUUAAAAAGAAUAAACAGGAAUUACAAACAGAACAUAAGGAUGUGAAAAAUAUAA
rnacentral:lncRNA from 1 species